rnacentral:rRNA from 1 species
CCUGGCGGCCGUAGCGCGGUGGUCCCACCUGACCCCAUGCCGAACUCAGAAGUGAAACGCCGUAGCGCCGAUGGUA